rnacentral:rRNA from 1 species
GGGAAACACCGUGGCGGCGUGCUAAUACAUGCAGUCGAGCGGACAGAAGGGAGCUUGCUCCCGGAUGUUAGCGGCGGACGGGUGAGUAACACGUGGGUAACCUGCCUGUAAGACUGGGAUAACUCCGGGAAACCGGAGCUAAUACCGGAUAGUUCCUUGAACCGCAUGGUUCAAGGAUGAAAGACGGUUUCGGCUGUCACUUACAGAUGGACCCGCGGCGCAUUAGCUAGUUGGUGAGGUAACGGCUCACCAAGGCGACGAUGCGUAGCCGACCUGAGAGGGUGAUCGGCCACACUGGGACUGAGACACGGCCCAGACUCCUACGGGAGGCAGCAGUAGGGAAUCUUCCGCAAUGGACGAAAGUCUGACGGAGCAACGCCGCGUGAGUGAUGAAGGUUUUCGGAUCGUAAAGCUCUGUUGUUAGGGAAGAACAAGUGCAAGAGUAACUGCUUGCACCUUGACGGUACCUAACCAGAAAGCCACGGCUAACUACGUGCCAGCAGCCGCGGUAAUACGUAGGUGGCAAGCGUUGUCCGGAAUUAUUGGGCGUAAAGGGCUCGCAGGCGGUUUCUUAAGUCUGAUGUGAAAGCCCCCGGCUCAACCGGGGAGGGUCAUUGGAAACUGGGAAACUUGAGUGCAGAAGAGGAGAGUGGAAUUCCACGUGUAGCGGUGAAAUGCGUAGAGAUGUGGAGGAACACCAGUGGCGAAGGCGACUCUCUGGUCUGUAACUGACGCUGAGGAGCGAAAGCGUGGGGAGCGAACAGGAUUAGAUACCCUGGUAGUC